rnacentral:ncRNA from 1 species
GUGAUGAAACCUCAAAGGGUUACCGAAAUUACUGAAUAAUAACGAUACAGGGAUAACUGAACUGGCAUGUGGUAGCCAAGCGUUCAUGGCGAUGCUUUUUGAUCCUUCGAUGUCGAUCUUCCCAUGUCAGCACGGUCAUCGUGUUCACCAAGCGUUGGGUUGUUCAGCCACCUCACUAAUAGGGAACGUGAGCUAAAUGGGUCUUGGCCGUCGUGAGAGUCGUUAGUUUUACCCUGC